ACAUCACAGCCUGACACGAGGCAUCCUGCACCUCAUCAUCCAUGAGGGGCCGGAUGAGGUCUGUGGAGUGGGGAAGAGUUGAGUGCAAGAAUCGAUUGCAUCCUCUGAUAAAGGAGUCAGAUCUUUCAGCAAGGGUAUUGAUUUACGCAUUCAACUCUGCAAGUUGUUUUCCACUACAUCUUUUGGAACUAAAACUCAGUGAUGUGAAUGCCAAUAGGCAUGAACAAAAGCCUCGUAUAUUGAAAAGCCUGAAUCUGUAUCUGUAGAAUAAAAACUGUUACACUUCCUUGCUUUUUCUCUCCUCUGCAAGUCAUUUUCCAGGUUGUUGUUAAUGGAUUUUGCAUGCAGAAUGUAUGUGUGUGCCUAUGCAUUACCAUGAUUGCUAUUUUCCUCUAAAAAUAGGUUUUUUUGUAUAUGUAAAUAGCAUUUGAUCACAGUCUAGAAAUAUUGCAUGCCAGAAAUUGUCUGUCUUGAAAUCCUGAAUAAUAGUAUUUGGGUAGGCUGUUAUGGCAACAGAGACACACCCUCUGGAUUCGAGCAUCACAGGUUCUCAUGGCAACUUUUUUUGUAUACCUGCACAUGCAGGAAAAUAUGCUGAGCUAUCCUAGUAAUCUCUGGAAAAACAGCAGCAGUAGAAUAAACUGAUAUGUUUAUCACCUUACAUUUGUUUUUGAAAUAUACAUAAAAACCUGCCUUAAAUUUAAAAAAAAAAAAAAAAAUAGAAAAAAAGAAAAAGCACACAAAAGCCAAAACAAAACUGUGGAAACAAUAACAUAAAAUCAUUUUAUGAACAUUUACUAUAAAUUAGUAUUUAUAUUAUACUGACAGAGCUUCAACCAAUGGUGGAUUGGCAUUGUCAAUACAUUUUACAUUAUGAACACAGAGUAGGUACCAACCCUUGCCAUGAGGCAGCUCUGCUUAUUUGUUUUUUCUUCUUUUUUAAGACUUGGUGAAAUUUUACCAAAUAGGACCUUCUAUCAGAAAUACAUCAGGUUCAAAUGAUCUUGACCUAUGACACAACAAUCCUAGCAAAAGAAGUGUUCAGCCAUGCUGUUGAGCCCUCCAUUUCAGCUUUUCCUCUGCAUUCCAGGGCACUGAUCACAUUAAUCCAAUGGACUUUGGAGUAACCGUUUUUCUUUAAAGUGCAAUUCUUUUAACAAAGCUGAAUUCUCCUUCCUCUUCUCUAUUUAUUACCACCACUGUCCCCACAUGUCCCUUCCACAGCGUUAGGUGUGUAAGUACCUGGUAAAAGUGGUGUCUGUCUGUGAUCACAGGUCCCCAGUGCUCAUUGUGAGGGUUCAAGUCAGUGCAAACCACAGAGGUUUACACACACACUCCUGAGGAUGAUGUCUGUUUGGAAACAGAGCUCGUCCUUCACAAAAAGUGGUGGAAACUCUUGAACAGGAAGACACCAAUUAAAUAAUUAGGGUUAGCAUAGAAAGAACAGCAAAGUGUCUAUCCCUCAAUAUCUUUAAGAACAAAUUAUAAAACCUUCUGGGAAGGAUGUCCUAAGUAAAGCCCUUAAGGGCAGGGAGGUGAACUAGAUGGCAUCCUAAAUUCUGUAUUUCUGUGGCUGUGCCAUCACUGUGCUUGCUUGUCCUUGCAUGAGUGCCAGCCUGCACAAGCACAGACCCAGGGUAGGAUGGCAGAUGCCAGAGAGAGGAAAUUUGAAAUGAUGCACUAAGUAUGAAAGAAGAAAACAAACACCUGAGCAUGUGGAAGAGCUUCACCUGCUCCUAGUCAUUUUUCUAUGAAACUUUUUUAAUGUCUGAGGUUCACUAAAAACACUUAAAAAAAAAAAAAAAACAAACAACUUACUGGUCCACAAUAGGAGCUGCACAGGACAGGAGUACCUGUAGUUUUCCUUAUUUAAUGUGUACUCAAAGGUUUUAUUUAAGUGGUGGAUGGUAAACACAUUUUUAUUAAGAAGUAUCUUAAACUAAAAACUGACUUUGAAAAAUAUACA
ensembl:lncRNA